CAGUCGCCGCGGUAAUACGUAGGGUCCGAGCGUUGUCCGGAAUUACUGGGCGUAAAGAGCUCGUAGGUGGUUUGUCGCGUUGUUCGUGAAAACUCACAGCUUAACUGUGGGCGUGCGGGCGAUACGGGCAGACUAGAGUACUGCAGGGGAGACUGGAAUUCCUGGUGUAGCGGUGGAAUGCGCAGAUAUCAGGAGGAACACCGGUGGCGAAGGCGGGUCUCUGGGCAGUAACUGACGCUGAGGAGCGAAAGCGUGGGGAGCGAACAGGAUUAGAUACCCGAGUAGUCCCUGUCUCUUAUAC
rnacentral:rRNA from 1 species